ensembl:lncRNA
GUAUCUGUUGAGUGACUCUGUAGGGUGCAGCGUUUUCACCAAAGUGCUGCAGCACUAAGGGCUGAUACAGUGUUCAAAAGCCUUUAAGACAGACUCCAAGGCUUCCUGCUAGGAAGUCUUCCAGCGAGUUUUUUUUCAGGUGUGACAUGAGAAUUGAGCUGCAUUUGAUUGAAUAGCAGCUAGCUCCUCCUUAGGACGGAUAAGUAUCAAGUAGAAGAAGAAAAUGAGCAAGAAGCUAGUUUCUACAGUGAACAAAAAGCAGCUCUCAUCUUUUGUGUGGUGGUGAAAGUCAAACUUUCAGAAGGUACGUGUAACUCUACUUGUAAAAACAGGUAUUUUUCUAAGAUGUAAUCUUUUUCUUUGGUCCUUGCAUUCACAAUCCAGCAUGAAAAUAAAUCAUAACUGCAAUGAGACUGGUGGUAUAUUUCCAUUUUUUAUUAUUUUAGUGAUAUAAAGGUAUUUUGAUGGUGCUUAAUUUCAUGCUUAAAGCAGAAGUUCUAGUAGUAAAUGUAUUUGUUAUCUGAAAUUUGUCUUCAUAUUUAGGUCUAAGUAAUUAUUUUUUCAGAAGUUUAAAUCUGAAGGUCCAUGCUUUUUGGAUAGCUUUUGUUUAUGACAUUGACACAGCCUCCUCUUAAACAUUUAUUCUCUCAUAGGAAUUGUAUUGACUAGACUUCAACCCAUAGCUUAAAGCCAUCAGUAGUGAUGUGCUCUAGAGCAGAUGAGUAGGAUGUGCAAUCAAAAAUACAUUUUCUACGGCACCAAAAUGAAGUUAUUCAUUGCUACUGCAGCUGUUACAUAUGUAGUAAAGUAGCUGAUUAACAUAAUUAGUUUAAACUAAGAUAAAUUGUUUUUAACCUGUAUUUAGUUUGGAGUUGUUGUUUAGUUAUGGGAGAUGGUAAGACUCUGUGCCCAAAAGCUUUUCUACGUUUUUUUUGAGUAUCAGUUGUUCUAUAAAUACAAUUUCUGCUUCUCUGCUGUGUAGAACAAACUUCAUUGUACAGACAUAGGGAAUUAAAUAAACUAUUGUAUAGUUCUCCGGAGGAUAAUCAAAUGGAAGAGUUAAAAUCAGACUGAAAAAAAUGAAGUAAUUGUAAGUGGAUAAGGAAAAAAAGUUGAAUAUUUUCAAUAGGAGAAAUAAUAUAAAGAAAGAGGCAAGUAGAUAAAAUGGUCAACUUUUCCAGCUAACAAAUAUUCUAAGAUUCACUAGUCUGUACAAAAAUAUCUGUUAACAUCAACAGAAUUAACAUCUUUAGAUGCUGACAUAAUUAGAAUGUGUUUAGGCCUAUUUGGACCUUUGCACCAAGUAGGCCUCCAGGUUCAUUUCUAGGGAAUAAAAAGUAUCUCUUCCCAUUGCUGUGGAAGAGCUAGUGCUUUCCAGUUAUCCUAAUAGAAUAUAGACCAUAGAGAUUUGAAUGUUAAAGUUAAAUGAGAAAAUAAAGGUAUGUAACUUAUCUAGACAUAGAUAAACACACUCUCAAUUUUAUUUUAUUUGCUUUUGAAGUUUCUCUUCAAUGUAUAUGGGUCAGAUGCCAUCACUGAGCAUCUCACUGAUUACUAUUUAUAAUCUGAGAAUACUCAUUAUAUUAUGUAGGUGUGCACAAAGUCAAAGCUGCUUGUCUUGGCAGAUACAAGUUGUUUGUUUGUUUUUAACUGCAGCAGAGACAUUUAGCACUGUGCUUGCCUGGUAACAUAGGAAACAAUACAAGACCUUGGCAUCCAAAAAGAUUAGACUGUCUGAGCUGACUGGCUCAUAAAAACUAUGCUGCAGAAACUGGCAAAGAAAACAAGUCUCUGAAAUUCUAAACAAGUAUUUUAAAGACAACAAAAUAAUAUAAAGGGUCAUAUUCGCUGCUUACGUGCUUGAAAUAACGUAUCAUGCAGUUAUACCCCUAUAAAAAGGAAAUGCACAACGAAAUGUAUUUAAAAAGCCUUUUUGUUAGUUGAGUUUGCUCUCUAGCAGUGGUUACACACAAGUGAUCUACUACGAUUUUUAAAUACUUUUUAUCAGAUUUCAUCCUAUUGAAUCACAAAUGUAUUUUUGUUAAUAUAAUGCUACUGAAUAUUAAAGAAAAAAUCAAUUUUUCCUAUCUAAAACUGUCAUUUCAGUCUACAAUAGGCAGUUAUUUAAGCCUAUUGUUGUUUUGGAAGUACUUGUCUGAAAUUUCUUCAAAAUAUGCUACUAACAUAUGCAGAAAAAACCAAGAAAGCGCUAAUAUUGAAGAUUUAUGCUGUGAAAUUUGGGUGAAUUUGCAUAUGACAUUUCCUAAGAUACAUGAAAUGUAAUGAAAAUUCAGCAAUGUUAAUAAUGCUUCCUCUACAAAGAACACCUGAUGUUAGUAAAGAGAGUACAUGACAGUAAUUACAACAAAAGUAAAUCUAGGCAGUAGGCUGAAUAGAAACAAAGAUACAAAUAUAUGUACACAUUUGCCUAUUGCAAACAGGAAAAAUGUAUUUUUUUUCAUAAUACUUAUAAUUAGGCACAAUAGCUGAGGCAGACACAUCACCCUUGAUUGUAGGGAUGUGUUUUGUCUAAUAGAUUUCUAACCUGGGGUUUUGGGAAAAACGUACCUGCAAGGAUAAUUCCUUCAACUCAGAAAUUUUAGAAUCUGUGUGUACCCAGUUGAUGAAGGAAGAAAGUUAGAAAAUUAAGAUGAUAUAUGUCUGUUAUAUAGCUAAAAUCAGAUGUAUCUAAAGCCUAGUAUUUACAUAAAAUGUUGUAUUCCAUAUUCUAAGUAUGGAAAUUAGAAUGUCUGAUCAGUGGCAAAUAAAACAAAUCCAGCCCCCCUCCUCUCCCACUAAGCAGGGCUACUAAGCCCUUCAGAAUAGUUUUUGCUUGCCAGGAUGCACCUGGUUGUGUUUUGUCUUUCAUGCCAGCUUCCUGUCAGAGGGGUAUAGAGAGGCUGACAUUUGAUGUAUGCAAAAGAACAAAGAAUAGGUUUUGCAUCAAAGCCAAGUUGGCAAAUAUUGUUGUUUCCUGUGACAAGUUUUGCUUAACUAGCGCAAGAACCAGCCAUGCAGAGAAGUGUGCUCCUAUAGUGCAAAACAGAAUCUAUUUAAGAAGGUGCACAUGUACCUGCCUAACACCGGCCAUAGCUCUUGCAUGCUGGGUGGAGCCCACACAAUAUGACAUGAAAAAGGAGUGAGCCACACAGGGAAGACAUUUUCAUUUACGUCAGAGCCCAUUGCUGAGUGGUGAGGAAUGUACACCGGGGGAUGAGCACCAGCAAGCAUCUAGUGGCUGCCAGGAGGGAAGCAGCACAUAAACUGUGAGAGUCACCCAUCACUAAGACAACCAAGCUUGUGGGACAAGAACUUGGAAUGGUAUAGGAUUGUAUCUGAUGUGGGUAAGUGUAAUAUUUGAUCUCUUAAUUUUUUAAAUAUAUUGUAAGCAUAUCUUUGUAUUAGACAUCUUAUAAUCCAGUGGUACACAUACAUACAAAAUGCAUCUGUAUCAUUUUUGGAUUUUCUUGCUGUGUGCAUUUGCUAUAGUUUGCUUGGAGAGUACACAUCACUAAUUAAAACAAAAGCUUGGUAAACAUGGUAUUUUUAUUUUCUCUCUUAUUUUUAUAUUCACUAUUUUUCAUUUUCUUGUUUGAGAUUGAAAAGAAUAUGAUGUUCUAGACUGAAGGCACUUUCCUUAUGUAUUUUUUCAGAGAGGACAGAGGGAACAAAAUAUUUUCUUUUUUUCUAGACAUUAACAUUCCACCUGACUCAAAUCCCCAUGGCCUUAAGUACUAUUUUCUUUUCUGUUAGAGUCUAGAAAUAAAAGCAUGAAGGUAAUACAUAGUCAGCUUUUCAUUCUUACAAUACACCUCUUGGUGAGCAUUUUGAUCUUAAGAGCAGCAUAAAACAUUGAGGAAGAAAUCUGAAAGGCAUAAAUCCCAGUUGUAUUAAAAGCAGACACUGACUAUUCAAAAUCCAGAUGCUAAUUUCACUAAGGUUACAAGACAAUAAUAACGUCUCCAUUGAUACCUGUAAGGAUCUAAACAGUUCUCUUCCCAGCAGUAUCUGAAGUUCACUGACCCAUUUAGCCUGGCUCUUUGCUUACAUUUCUCAGCUUCUGUGUGAUAUCACUGCUGUCAGCCCAAUCUACGUUCAGACAGGUAAAAUUGUGACAGAUGUUUAAAGAAGAAAUAAGUGACAUGAUCCUGAUUCACAGUACGCUAUAAGAUGAACGUUUGUUGAGUACAUCACCGCAGAAAACAGGCACUUGGAUAGAAGAGAGUCUCAUUAACAUGUUUUUCAGUGAAAUUCAAGUUCAAGUGUCUGAUUUUUAUUUUCUCUCCCAGGUACCAUGUUUUUGGAGUUCUACCAUUGCAUUUAGUGUAGUCACUAAACGCUUUACAGGAAUAUAAGAAUGACUCCAACUAAAUGUAUGCUGUUGAUUAGUGCAUCAAGCUUCAGGGCUUGAUGGAUGGGCAUGGAAACAACAUUAGUAUGAGUUUGUACCCUUCUCCUUCAAGGACCUUGAAGGACUUCCCUAUAGUUGAUUUUUUUUUUUAAUAUACUUAUUUCUACUAACAGUAUAAGAAUUUUGGAAGUUCGUCAAAGUCCAGGAACUUAAAAUACAGUCGUAAAACAGAGCCAGGCUACCAUAGAUCUUACAAAUGUAAUUUGAGAACUAACAUGAAGUAUAAAAUCUUUUUAUAAGAAAAAAAUGAAGAUAUAAAAGAAAUUAACACAUGAUUUAUUAAACAUAAUCCUAAUCAGCAGAGGUAGAAAACUGAAAUAUUAAAUGACUCCUCUUUCACCCUUCAUAUCAUACUGUUAUAAUUGAAAUUGGAAUUUUCAGGUGAAUUGUUCGCCUGCUUUGCAGAUUGCUUCUUCAGCUAUUUUUCCUUUUUUUUUUUCCUCCUUUAUCUGAGAGCAAUAUUUCUAAAAGGAGAAAAUAAUCUUGUGAAAUGGCAUCUAUUCUUUCUCUUUUAAAGUACAGAAAAUACUUUUCUCACCACACUUUCCAAAUACACAUUAAUUGUAUUGAAUUUUAAGAAAAUAUUAUGUAGGAAGAAAUAAUUAUAGCUGUCUGCUAACUGCUAUUGUUUUCUUGGUAACAUGUGACACCCUAAUGACAGGCACAUGCUGCUUGACACUGCCAGGAUCUCACUGUGGGCAGUGAGAGACCCAAAAAUACGAUGUCACCUAAUCCAGCGGCAAGGCUGAAAUCCCAUAUUUCUUCAGUUAUUCUCACUGCCCUAGAAGGAAUAUUUUGAGCCUGAACAACCUUUCACAAUCAAAAUACAAACAUAACUGGUUGGGUUUCAAAUGAAUACUUGGACUUUCCCAAAGCAAAUGUACUUCCAGCAGGAAAGCAUCUAAACAGUUCUCCUUAGAAAGAGCCUAGCUAUAGGAAAACUGCUGUAUUUCUGCACAACGCAACAUCACUGGUCAAUUGAUAAUUUCUUACUUUUUAAACUAAGAUCAUACAUAAGCAGACUUAGAACUCCUUGCCAGAGGAAGUCUGCUAUAACAUGAACAUCACCCCCCUCUUUUUUAAUCCCUUUUCAAAUUGGGAAAAAAAAAACCACUAAGAGCUUGGACUCAGCCAAAGAGAUGUUUUAUAGCUUGGAAUGGUUCUAAUUCAAAUAUGUAGCAAAUUUCAGCCAAGAGUGUCAGAUGAUCAAGAACACUUAGCUCAUCUAUUCGUGAAAUACAGUAGGAUACAAUAAGGACUAGCCAACUCUAAUCAAGAAGAAUGCUUCUGUAAUUAAAUAGGAUUGUUUGUUAGCCCAAGAAAUUAGAGAAAGCUCUUACAGCACAAACAAUAACAGUCUGGUUUAUUACCUCUGUAGUAAUUUUUUUCCUUCACAGUCUCAUGAUUUGCAAUAACACUUUGAUUUUCAUUUAAGUUGUUUGGAUUUUUUUUUCUUUCACUGCAGCUCUUUUAGAUUGUGAUAAAUGAAGAUGCAUUAUCUUCAUAAUUUACCCUCACAAUAAUGCUGUUAUAGUUUUUGUUUUGUUUCUUAAGAAAAUCAAGAGAAUUUGUUCUUAAUUACAUUCAUGACACAUGUACUUUGUCUCAUGUCUGUUCUGUUCCCUUCUUAUGUUUGUUCAUCAGACCAGAGUGAUUUCACCAUAUGAAUAUACUGGAUUGAAGUAGGACCUGCAGUAAGAUUAAUACUGACUUUCCAGAUAAGCAAGUAUGUCUGCAAUAUCUGAAAGUCAUCUUUCAAAGAAAAACUUGAAGUUGGAAUGCACAACAGGAUGGCACGUAUAAUGCCAUCAGCCUACUGGAAGUUGCUCUGCUACCUUGCAAUCAUGAUUAAUAAAGGGCAAUAUACAGUUUUGUAAGAAGUAAAUUAAGAUCUCACUUAUUUCUGCUUGAUAGAAAUCAGUUACAUAUCAAUUCCACCACUUUCCUCUAUGAAUGCUAUACCCCUCUAGACAAGGUAGAGUAUUGUGCAUUUGGAAUGAUGCAAGCAAACAAGUUCCCCAUGACUGUCAGUUACUAUGUACAGUGGACAUUCCCUCUGCACAAGAUACAAACAGGUUUGCAUCUGAGUUCCUGGAACCAUGUUCAGUGUAAGUGCUACUUUGUGAACACCCUGCAAAAAUCAGACUUUGUACAUCUGCAGUCAGUCUGAGGUCUGCCCUAAAGUUCUCCAUGACUGUACACAUCUCUCAUCUUCGUACUGUGCCCAGCAAGCUCUAUGAAAGGCUGAUAUUUUGACAGCUGUUUAUAUGGAUACUUAAGAUAUUUGUACAUAUACACACUACUUGACUACAUAUAGGAUAAGAAUUGUGAUACAGAAUCACCUGAAUCUACAAGAUUAUAUACCACAACCAGGAAGUUGAUUUUUUUAAUGACUAAGCUCAACUACAACACAAUAAAUGCAAAAUAUUGUAGAGAAUAGAAAACUAAAAGUAAUGCCUGGUCAGGACAAUUGACACAAUUGUUUAAAAAAAAAGGGGUCAAAUCACAAAAUCAGAUAUAUUCUUGUCUUCUACAAUUACUUCACUUCCCUAUUACACAUAGACUUUUUUGUUUUUGGCAGUGGUGAUGCAGAUCCUGUACCCUAUGCAAUGUAACCUAUUCAAAUGGAUUCCAUGAGAUCAUGUUUUGAAUUGUACCAAGCAGCAGCUGGAUAUUCUCAGACACAACAGGACUGCAAUGCUUUGAGCUCAGUAGUGCUCUGAACAGAUAUCCAAGUCCCUAGACUUUAUAGUUGAGCAUGGCUUUUGAACAUUUACUUCAAAUAUAUAGAAAAGGGCAUUCAAUAAAACUUGAAACACAGAAGAGAGGUGAAAACUGUUCAGGUGUGGCCAUAUGAUGCCAGGAAGUUGCAUUGCAGAGGUACACUUGGAAUGGUGUGCCAUAAGAUGUCAGAUUCUACAGGAAAUUAAGCAUCUGAUAAGUUCAAUUAUUCAAUCUCAUAUGUGGUAUAUAAAAAAAAGCAGUUAAUUUGCAUCCUGCAGUUUUCCCUUUUGCCUCUGAACUUUAAAAAGAAAAAAAUGCAAUUGCCUAUUGUGUUUAUUUAAUUAUACGUUCAACUGUUUAUUUGAUAACAAAGAGACUCAUGGACUCUUAUCAAAUGCUGUUUUUAUAAUUCGUAGAUCAUUUAGUAAAACAGUUUUUUUUUUAAACAGAUAGGAAGAAAGAUAAAAAAAGUUUAUUUCCUGAGUACACUGAAUUUGACAAUACUCAGAGCAAUCAAAGUUAAACUCUGUGCAUGAGAUACAAACAGCUUCUUUUUUCUAGAAGCUCUCCAUCAAUUAUAACAGAACACAGCUUAACAGAAAAAUUGUCAUUGUCUUACCAUAGCUGUGACAACGCCAGGCCUCUCCAGAGGUUGUUGUGUCAUAUGGUCACCAACUGCUGCAAAGUACCAGUGUUGCUGGACCAAAACCAAAGAACUAGAGAAAGCAACCCAAUUUUGUAAGCGUUGAUCACAGUUUAGGACUAAUGAUGUCAAAAAGCCAUUGACCGCCUCUGCUCUGGUUUAGUCUGCAGAAGGCAAAUCAAAUCUCAUGCUAAAACUUGCUGGCACGCUCUAGGAAGAAUACUUACUUUGUGACAAAAAUUCAGUAAGAUACUAUCUAAUUACUUGAAUCAGUACUACACUGAACAUAUGAGAAAAGAAGAUUUAGGCAAGAAGUCAUAUCCUUGAAUUUUUCUGUGAUAAAUUAAGAAUCUUAAAGCUUGUAUCUCCAUAACAACACAAUGAUUUCAUUUUCAUAAUGAUACAAGUUGCUGGAAACCACAACAGGAAAGGGAAUCAUUCAGAUGUCUCACUCACCAGAAGCUGGCCCCAGAUCGGAGCUGGGGCAGUGGGGAAUUAGGCACUACACUUGCCUGAGGAAUCAUCCCUGUUCACAGUACUCUGAAUGAGCACUGUGCCCAUCUGCUACUUGCACCUUGGUAGCACUGGCAUGUUUCAGCCUGUAGCCAACAAAUCAGAAUGCUAAGCUUUUAAAAUAGGUUUUAAAAUAAAUAAGUAAUCUAACUUUAAGAAAACGCUGACAGUGAAAGUUUGGAGAUGCAGAUUUCAACUUCUCAGCCAGAGCAAAUGUGAUUGUUCCUCUUCACGAAACACAAGAAGAGAAGUUUGGUUCACUGCUGGUCUUGGUGAACUCAAUUAUAUGAUUGUGUUUAAGAGUGAUAAUUCAUGUAACAACUGUAGAAAUCACAUGAACUUUUAACUGCAUCAUCAAUUUGCAAUUUUUUAAAUUAAGUCAGCAUAAUUUUUUAAGCUGUGAUAUAUGAUAAAUGAGAUUGUUUAUUGCUACAAGAGUUUACAGUACAACUGUUGGUUCUUACAACAAGUCUGUUUAGGUUAGCAUUGGUCCCUGCGUUAGCUUUGUGUUGUUCCACCUACUUGAUAACAAAAAAACAAAAACUGCCUGGCUGACAGACUUCUCUACUGUGCACUUCUGACUUAAAGCCUCUACUUUACAAAAUGAUUGGAGCAUUUUCAGUUUUAAAUAUCAAGUGUCCAAAUAAGCAAAAAGAUUAAUUAGCAGAGAACUACAUCAAUAGCACAUCAGACUUUUCAGUUAAAAAAAAGUCAAAGUUAAUAAUUUUCUAAUGCUUUAGAAUCUGUGAUAGUUAUUUUGCCACUCAGAGUCACACUUCUGGAGGUGAUCACGUUUUAACCAACCUAUACCUUACUGUUCUAUACAAUCUCUUCAGUAUAUUUACUGAUUAAAAGAAAAGCAUUAUGCCAUUAGCAACUGUCUUUAAAAUAAAAAACCAUUGGAGCCUUGGACAUAAUACAGAAGGAAAGGAAAAACAUGUCACCACAGACAUCACACUGACCGCAAUAAAAGCUAUCCAUUUAUUCAUCUUAGCCAGACAUCAUUACCGAAUAGGUUCAUGUAUUAUAUUUCUUGCAAAGUAUAAUGUGCAGAAGCAGCAUAUGGCUUGGCUGGAUUUUGAAUAUAUAGUUAUGGUUACUGAUAUAACCAACAUAAAAUUGAUACAGAAUUGCAACAGAUUGGGUUUUACUAAGAAGUAAUUAGGAAAUAAUCACUGUGUUAUGAUUAACCUGGUCUAAAAGGGAAAGGAGGAGUCCUUAAGGCUGAAGACAUACCUGAAGUAUAAGGGGCUAUUGAGAUUUUACGACAGCAGCAGUGGUGAGCAAGAUGAGCUCAAACAAUGUGGCAAGAGAGUAUGUGAGACACAUGGAUAAAAUAACAGAAAAAAAUGCCUUUGUACUUAUCUAUAAGGUUUCCUGCAAAAAUCAUUAGGGACAGGAAUAGAAAGAAAAAUAGCGAGGAAGAGUGACAAAACUUCACAGUGAGCCACAGGCAGCAGGUUUCUUUAAAUGACAGUAAACAGAGCUCUUAGGUACAUUCAUUCCCACAACACUGAAUUUCAUGAUGCAUACUUUAAAAUAAAACAAACAGACUUUUUCAAGUAUUACAUGGUGAAUUGCGUAGCAUUAUCUUUUCUUUAAGAAAGGGUUUUUUUUUUUCUUAACAUGUGUAUGACUUCCUUUGAAAGGGUUUCUCAAAUUUAUAAACAUACCCAUACUUAGGAUCUAUUGGUGGAGGGAAAAAAAGCACCCCAAACCAGCACUAAUGACAUUCAACUUUUAAAACUUCACCCAAGGACAAGGUGAAAAAUAAAGAACUAAUGCCUCUUGUAGCAUUUAGUUCUUAAUGUUUCAAAACCUCAUCUUUUCAGGAAAGCAACAUGCUAUUUCAGUUGAUUUGGUACAUGCCCAGAAUAUAACAAGAACUGAACCCUGGGUAUACUUUUAUCUAAUAACUGUCUUUUGCAUUUUCUUUUUACUCCUGCUCCGGAACAUUUUAAAAGCUUGUGAGUUGCAAAAAACUGAGAAUUCUUCCCCCACAUUGCAACUACUAAGUCAAAAGAAUAUGCUAACAAAUAUAAAGGAUAUUAUUAAUCUGAACCAAUUUAUGAACGAGUUUUCUUCUCUAGAAUACUUAUUUAAAUUAAUCAGAUUCCUUGAUUAUUUGUGGAACUGGUUAAAGAAAACACCAGCCUUGGAUUUCCAGGACCCUGUAAUUUCUAAUAAUUCAGGUUACUAUUCAUUACAGCAGGUGCACGUGUUUCUAUGCUGAGCCUUUGUGAGCACUGAUUCAAGCUCUCUAAAGGCCAAGGUAAGACAGAGUACACAAAAUUCUUGUUAUGAUGGUUCAGAGGCAUUCUGAUAACUUUGGAAUAGUGUCAUAUGAUAUAUAAAUUAUUCUUAAUUUUCCAUCUGCACAGAUGAAGAGUGAAAAAUAAUAAAAAGCCAUUGAAUGGAUAACUUCUGCUGGCCUCAGCGGAAACCAAAGGAAAAUUCAUAAACUACUAUGACAAAAUAAAAUGCAGAGUCUCUCUAGCGUUUUAGGUUUGUAUUGAAAAGCACAACCAUUAACCUCUGUUCAAAGGAAACAGGGACUGAGCUAGCAAUAGUGUUACAUUAAGAUACUAGGCAAACCAACUGAGAAACUUUAGAAAGAUACAUGUAAUAUCUACUUGAGUAAGCAUGAUACCAAUUAAGCCAGUUGCAUGCUCAGGUCUCCUAAGAGUCAUAUGAUCCCAACAGCAUUUCUUGCAUGGCAGCAAGUCAUAACUGCUAGUCUUCAAAUCAGAUUGAAGACCAGAACUGUCUCUCAUCAUCACCAAGCAGGUUAGAGUGGGCCAGUAUACAGAGCCAGUACUCUGCGUUCCACUUUAUUUCUCAUAUUUUGAUAGUUAGGAUUCAGGGACCAAAAAUACAUUUAUCUUCCCCCAUCAAUAUGUUCUUUAUUUCCCCACUCCACUUUUUCUAAGGCUUCCCUGGAAAAAAAAAAAACCUUCUGCUUAUUUUUUUUCCCUUUUGUUUAUUUAUGGUUUUACAGUGUUUCUUGAACAACACCAAGGAAGUUGUCUUUGCACAUCCUAGUAUCCCAGAUCGGGGUUGAUACAGCCAGAAAUUUUACAGCACCAAGAUACAGGAAUGACACAACAGACUAGAAGGCAAAUUAACAAUAGUGACGACCACUAUAAAGUGAUGGAAAGUAUAACAAUAAUAGCAGAGUAGCACAAUCCCAGUCUACAGUAAAUGACAACAACACCAAACGCAGCAGCCAUGAUACAGAAAUGAAAGGAAAAACUGCUUACCUUGUGAAGACCUUCAGUAAGCAGUAACCUCCAACAAGAUAUCCUCACCUCCACUGCUAACCCUUAAAUGAAGUCUGGGAAGGGGUGGAUCCUGGCUCCAUGCCUUCCAAUCACUCAGGUGCUCCACAUGCAGCUGAGCUCCCCUGGGUUGGCCCUGCCUUCCACCAGGUGCUCAAUCACUGGUUCAGGCUAUGACUUAGCAUUUCUGCUACAACAGUGAAAAACAGGCACCUAGCAUAGAUGAAUCAACCCAGACAAAAAACAAUGAAACAUUGUUAGAGCAAGGACUUGAACUUCAAUUAAAAUUGCAAAUGACUCUGUACCAUCACCAAAUGCUUAGGAAUAAGACUACUUGCCUAACUCAAUGCCCCAAAUCUAAACCAAUAAAUUUUCAAGUGCGAUAACUUGUAAAAAGUCUGCCUAGAAGGAAGGUCCAUAUCAUGAACAUUCAAAUAGACCAGCAAGAUGAUGCUAACAGCCUUCUUAUCAAAAGCAAGCCAAACAGAAUGAGUGUGAGAGAGAUGAGCUCAUGCACACUAGACAACAAGUAGCAAGCAUUCAGGAUCCUCAUUUUAGAAAAAUGAACUAUCUAUAACCUUGUUAGCCUCAUCUGGAGCAGAAAAACUUUCAAUAGCAUUAGGAUGGCAGUACUGCAGCAACACUACCUCAGACUUAAAGAAAUAACGAGAAGAAGUUAGAGGAGAUGCACUGGGUCCUGAAGCUCUCUCAUAAAGGAAUAAGCUUUCUGAAUACACCGACUUACAGCACAUGAAAAUAAACAUAAAGCUGGAAAUCCCAUGUUCUGUCAUGGAGAUACUUUCUACUUCUCACUGAGUCAAAAGUGCAUAGAGUCCACAACAGCCUUAUUGCAAUAUUUCAGAAAAUGCUCAUGCAGAAGUACUUGUCUUACAACAUUGCUGAUCUAUUGCACCUGAGAAAGUUCCCUGGGAACCCUAAGGACCAAGAAACCUCCAAAACAACAGACCCUCCAUGCUCCCCUUCCACACUCAUGAUGAAUGUAAAGAUAAAGAUGUAAAGCUGAGAUACCUUAAAUUAGUGCUAGAUGUGGCUGGGUUGAAUGCUAGAAGUUUCCAGAGAGCAUUGAGGGUUUUUUUUUUUUUUUAAUCAAAUGUGCCUUUUUGAAACCAAAAUCUGCUGUUCCUCAUCAAAUAAAACAGUGUCAACUUUUCUGCAAAGCAGAUCUUUGUUCAAGCACAGAAAGAGGUACAAUUCAUCCUGCUGUAUAUUUUAUAUGUGCAUAUAUACUACAGGCUGAGUUUAGUAUGUUAAGUUGACAGAAAGUACCUAAGGAGAUGAUAUUUUUCCUCAAAAUAAUUUUUUUUUUUUUUUUUUUUUUUAAUAUUCUUGUUCCUCUUCUCCUGUUUGUCAGUUGAAGAACUACAAAACUAGUGUAAGUUUUCUUCUCCAAAACACUAGCUAGAUGACUUCAUUUCUCUUGGCAGUUUUGGGAGUUUGAUCUCUUCACACUUUCACCUUUGUGAGAGUAAUCCCCCCUUCUAGCUGACUCAUUCAAAGUCUACAGAGCAGAUAAAAGAGCAAGCAGUUGAGCCUUGGCCUCCCAAAUCAUUUUUAGCUCUCUAUCUUUCAGCAUAUCUUUUCCUUGAAGAAAGUUUAUACCUUUCCUUACAGGAAUGCAAUUUGUUCUAGGAAAGAAAAGAAAAAAUCAAGACUAACAUGAACAUCUAUUACAGUUCAUCUGUUAGGAUAAUAAAACUUCUAGAGAGGUUAUAAUAGUAGCUUUACCUCAUUUGUCUUUUAAAAUCUCUUCUCCCUGUCUUAGAAGGCAGCAAUAAAAUAAGAUCAUAGAUAUGCUAGGUCAUCCCAGCUCUUACCAUUUGUGUCAUUCAAGCUAGUUUUAAGUAAGGCUAGAGAACAGUGGGUUUUAAAAUUCUAGCUAUUCUCUCUGCAUAGGGUUUGUCCAAAUGUUCGCAAUGUCAAAAAUAAAUAAAUAAAUAAAUCACCUGGGACAUCAUUUUGACACUAUAUAAAGUGCUCAUUUGGACAAUAUUAACCAUAAGAGUAGAAAUCUUUCUUGGAAUUAAAUAAAUGCAUUUUUUAUGUUGGUGAAAAAAAGACUGAGACAACCUACUUAGAGUACUGAGCAAACUAGGUGACUGGAUGCUCAGCUCACUACCCAAAUUCAGUUUAAGUAGUAGCAAAAUACAAGCUGUUGUAACUUGGGAAAUCUAGAAAUACAGACAUUUUACAAGAAGAUCUGAAGAAAAUUCCGAGUUUUUUUUAGUUAAGGAAAUACUUCUUUCAUGUUCAUGUUAGUUUCAAAACUAUUUACUUCUAUAGUUUCAGUUCAAUAAAACUUUUAGAUAUAGUUACCACCCACUUAAAAACUACUAUAAUGUCUUUUCACUACAUCAAUUAUAAACAUUCUUCAACAGAAUUGUCAGAGAUGACAGGAGAUACUGCAUGAUCUGCUUUUGAAUGUAUUAGUUUUGCUAUUAAUACUAAAUACAGUUGUGUUUUUAAAGUUUUACUUGGAGUUGUUCUUAGCGGUAAUAUUUGUUUUUCUCACCCUAUUGAAGUACACUGGAACAAAGGUAUACCUCUAUCUUCAUGUAAAAUGACAAAUGAUUAUUUAAUGUAAUUGUAAAGGGAACACAUUGAGAACUGAAUGAGUGACUUUGGCAAUGAUUUUCAGAAAAAUCUUUUUGUUCUGUCAAUUACAAAUAAUUUUCCAUUAUUCAUCACUUAAUAUAUUAUUCAGUAAUUUUCCAGAGGAUCUAUCAAUCUCAAAUUAUUUAAUGGUAAUUCUAUGUUGAACAUGUUUCACCUCACAUCAUACUACUGAUAUAGCCUUUUUUUUUUCCCUAGAAAUAAUAACUAAACCAUUCUCUGAAAGAGCAAAUCAAAUAGAGUUUUUUAAUCAACUAAAAGAUGGGAAAAGCCAGAAAGAGGACUAGAACUACAUCCAAUAUCUAAAAAGUACCGAAUCACAUUUAGCAUCUUUGCUCUUUGUGUUUUACUUUGAUCUAUACAUUAUCAGUCAUAAACUUUGGCUAAUUCAAAACAAAAGAGAUUUUUUUAAAAAAAAAAGAAUAUUAAUAUGUUAGCCCAAGAAAUUGCAUCAUUCUUUUAACUGUUUACCAGAUUUGUCUUGAGUCAAGAUACAUUUAAAGCUUAGAUGUGAAGGAAAAUAUACUAUUCCUAGGGGGCACAGAGAACCCAAUAACUUUCUUCUUCAUGCUUAAUAAUCUUGUAUGUGAGGGACCAAUCCAAUUUGUGGAAACGAAUUGUACCUUAGGGAUAUGUUAUUUCAACCCAAACUGAAUAUACUAUUCAUUUUAAAAAGUAGCAAUAAAAAUUAUAUAAGAUGCAAUUCAUUAUUUUUCUAAAUGUUUCGUGAUUCCACUGGGAGGAGAGACUUAAAUAGCUUACAGGAAGCCUACCUUAAUUAGGUUGCUUUUCAAAUCAAAUAUAGUAUAAUUUUAACAUAAAAAUGUCACUCAAGGAAAGUAUUCCAUUUACAAAGAUGAUUAAUAAAGUUUAAAGGAAAAAUGGGGGAUAUAUCCAUGGGUGAUAUGUGAAGGAAUGUGAGAGAGGAAAUGAUGCACAUGUAAAUGGACAUGUACAAAUAUGCAGCUAGCUAUGAGCUAUAUACAGAUAUCUGUUUCAUAUUCAUGCAUGCCUACACACACACAGAGAAGGGCAAUUUGUUACCAAAGCAACCACAUUCAGUUGUUUUUUUGUCCUCCAUCAGAAUUGGUUUGCAUUUUUGUUAAAAUAUUUUAGCUACUAAAAGCUCAGAAGAAUUUAUUGUGUAAAUAUUUAUUUAAGCUCAAAACUCGUUUACUUUUAUAAGAAUCUCUUUUUCAGCUUUAUAAGGGAAAAAGAGAAGAAAAUCAUAUUUGUUUUCAUGGAUUUACAAACAAUAAGACAUUAAAGUUAUAAUUGAGGUACUUUGCCUCAGUGGUGCUGUUAAAAUAUUGAUGUUUAUGCCAUAGAAAUAGUCAUUUCCUUUUCUGUGUAUAGAGAAAUGCUUCAGUUUCUCAGAUCCUCAAAUACAGUAAUUUACAUAAAUAUUGACUUUUAAUGAGGGCUGUGGUCAACGAUUUAAUUUGGGGACUGCAAUUCCACUGUAAUUUAAGAAGCAACAAUAAAAGCUGAAAUUUAGGAGCUUUAAUUCUCAGUGUACCCUUUCGGAAGACACUUAGUACUAAGUUUUAUAAGCCUUCAAAUAGCUUUUAAAUGAAGUACCUGAGUUCCACUAUUACCAUGUACUUGCAGUGCUCCAUGUACCCACCCCCAGUCUUAGUUUCUGAAACCAGGCAGCAAAACUUGAAAAUUCUGGCCUUAUCUUUCCUGCAUCUCAGCUAACCCAGUAGAAAAUAUACCCUAAGAAGAUUUACACAUUUAGGGAUUUACACAUCAUAGGUAACCAUGGCUUGAAUAUGUUGUGUAUAAUCCAUUCACAAUUAAUUUUUCAUGUUAGGCAAUAAUUUCAUUAACCUGAAGAGACAAGUUGACCAAAUAGUGAGUGAGAGAAGCAUGCACUAUAAUAUUCAACUUUUUUCCUUUUCUUUUUCCCGUGAAAAGCUGUAAAAACUUGUGAGUCAAAUCAAACACAGAAUAUAGCGUUCUGUGAUAUGAUCACUCAUGUCUUAUACAAAUUAUUAGCUCACCCUGUAAGGCCGAUCUAUACUUAAAACAAAAUGGAAUAAUGUAUUUUAUUAACAUCUGUUCAUCAGAGACAUUUUUUUCAAUAAAUAACAAUCAUAUAUCCUGCACUGAAAUGACACGUUAAAUGGUUUGGGUCUGUAAACAGUAUUUUAUCUCAUAAAUAGCAAUGGAGAUUUUGUAAUACAAUCUUGCAUACAGCUUGUAUCUUAAUACAUAAUAUUAAGAAGUACUUCACUAGAUCUGUGAAAAAAAUGUUAUUAGUUUUUAUCUUGCUGAGACUCUACAUUUUUUAAAAUCAAUUCUGGGUCAAUCUUUUUCCAUUUUGGUUAGAACAAACAACAGAUAUUAUUUUGAAUCAAAUGAAACUUUGUUUUUAGCUGCGUAUUUUUUAUCCUAAAACCUAGUAUUUAAUUUUAAGCAGCUUUCUAAAUGAAAUGUCAUAUAAAAAGAUUAACCACUACCACCAACAAAAACAAACAACAAAAAGUCUUGAUGUAUGUUCUUUUCACAUUUUAAGUCUUUCUGUGAUUUUAGCUGACUUUUAUUGAGGAUACUGCAAUGUACUUGCCACAUGAAUAAUGAUUCAGAACUUUGUGCCAGUCUGUAUAGAACUGCUGACCUUUCACUUAGCUGCAGACACCUCUCUAUCCAUAACCCAAAGAGGGUGACUGUUACUGCCAGUGAGUGAAACAUCAAACAGCAAUCUCAAAAUAUAAGGAUCUAUUCAUAAGGAGAUCUGAAACCUUGAGAAUGUUAGAAAUAACUAGGACUCCCUUGUUAAUGAACAAAAAACCGUUAAUCAGUUCCACAUAGCAAUUUGUAAAGCAAAUAAGGAUAGUGAUGGAUUGUCAUGCACAAGUAUCAUAUAUCCAAAUAAUAAUUACUCGCUUUAUAGUAUAAUAUUCUCUGUGUAUUCAUAUGCAGAUUUUAAACAAGCUACAUCCUUUGUUAGGAUUAAUAUUUGAUGUAUGGAAUAGUAUUUGACAAAUACCAAUAUUUAUAUAUAUAUAUAUAUAUUUCUUUUAAUUUCUCUUCGACAUCUUUUCUGAGUCUGUUUUUAGCAUUCUUUAAACAAUUUACUAAGUUUGUCUAUUCUCUUUGAAAAGCAUCAAAGUGUUUAGGACUUCAGCAUUUUAAACACACCCAAUGGUAACUGUCCCAUCCUUCCUCAGUGGGACUUUCAGCAUGCAGGAACAACUCUUUUGUAAGAGAUGAGAAGAACAGUACCUCAGAGCCCACCAGGAGCUCCUUUACUGUUAGGAUCCAUGCAUAUUCAUUGAUCAGCCAGUCAGUCACCUCUUUCUCUUUGGCACUGAUUGACAUUAUGACCUGAAGGGAAAAACAGAUUUGAUACCAACACAGAAACUUCUAUAGCAACCAGCCAACCUCUUGUGACAAUAACAGGAGACUAAUCAGUUAUAGCUGAACGAAAUUAAGAGUACUGCUAUUUUACAGAGUUAUAAUGAUGUUCUCUGGCCUAAGGUGAACACAUUUCCCAAAUAUAAUCAUGACAUUACUAAUUAUUCCAAAUCUGCAGGUCUACCCUAUCCCAACUGCUCACAUUUCCUCUUUGUGCCAGAAUUUUCUUCAGGAACAGUUCAAACAACAUCCAAAGCUCCUCUGUGUGGCCCUUCAGCUCCUUGUCUUAUAGGAUAUGUCUUCUUUGUCCCUGCUGCUCGGAUCUCACCCAGUGGCCUGUGGCAGACUCCUCCUAAACCUGGAAAAUUCUCACAGGAUACAGCUAUGUGUGAGUGGAAUAAAAAGCUGCAAGAGCAUUUCAGCACAUGAGCUCCCUAACUCCCUUCCCUCUCCUCUUUUUUAGCUGCAGUUUCUAGAAAAGGUUUCUUCAAACACAUUUAGGAAGAAAAUGCAACUGAAAAUGGCAAAUACAAAUCCAGGUACAGGAAUGAGAGGCGAAACUGAAAUUCAUGGAUUAUUAAGUCCUGAAGGUUAUGGAACAAAUUCCUCUGGAAGCCUUUCCAAAGUCAGAAUAUGCUUGACAACCUAAUUUCUUGCUAUGGAAAGAUGACAGAUUCUGCAGUGAACGACUACAACAAAUCCACAAAAAGAAGGAUGGGAAAAGGACUGUAGUGAGACUCUUCUGGAAGACCUCAAAGCUGAAACAUGUGCAAGACAAAGCUAGAGUAAACAUUUAAGUUCAUGAACUCAUUAUAAGCAAAUUUAGCUAAGGCAACCAUUUGCUUUUUUUCUGAUGAUAAAUGUAAAAUAACAGGACUUCACAAGUGGUUACUAUGCCAAGGUUUUCCAAGUGAAUAUUAUCAGAAACCAUUAAAAUUCUCAGUGUG